rnacentral:rRNA from 1 species
AGUGAACGCUGGCGGUAGGCCUAACACAUGCAAGUCGAACGGCAGCACAGUAAGAGCUUGCUCUUACGGGUGGCGAGUGGCGGACGGGUGAGGAAUACAUCGGAAUCUACUUUUUCGUGGGGGAUAACGUAGGGAAACUUACGCUAAUACCGCAUACGACCUACGGGUGAAAGCAGGGGAUCUUCGGACCUUGCGCGAUUGAAUGAGCCGAUGUCGGAUUAGCUAGUUGGCGGGGUAAAGGCCCACCAAGGCGACGAUCCGUAGCUGGUCUGAGAGGAUGAUCAGCCACACUGGAACUGAGACACGGUCCAGACUCCUACGGGAGGAAGCAGUGGGGAAUAUUGGACAAUGGGCGCAAGCCUGAUCCAGCCAUACCGCGUGGGUGAAGAAGGCCUUCGGGUUGUAAAGCCCUUUUGUUGGGAAAGAAAAGCAGCAGGUUAAUACCCCGCUGUUCUGACGGUACCCAAAGAAUAAGCGCCGGCUAACUUCGUG